UACGUAGGGGGCAAGCGUUAUCCGGAUUUACUGGGUGUAAAGGGAGCGUAGGUGGUAAGGUAAGUCAGAUGUGAAAGCCCAGGGCUCAACCCUGUGAUUGCAUUUGAAACUAUCUUACUAGAGUGCAGGAGAGGUAAGUGGAAUUCCUAGUGUAGCGGUGAAAUGCGUAGAUAUUAGGAGGAACACCAGUGGCGAAGGCGGCUUACUGGACUGUAACUGACACUGAUGCUCGAAAGCGUGGGGAGCAAAC
rnacentral:rRNA from 1 species